GCGGGUGUGGUGGAAUUGGCAGACACGCAAGAUUUAGGUUCUUGUGCCUCCGGUGUGCAGGUUCAAGUCCUGUCACCCGCA
rnacentral:tRNA from 1 species